CGUCUGGACACUUCUUAUUCACGAUACCUUCAUAUUCUCCCACAUAAACCUCAUGGAUACGUCUAAUCCUGUAAGUCGUUGUUUGUGACCGAGCCGAUGACAGCACCUACGAUGACCUCAUGACUUCAGGUGGCUUUAAAUCCCUGUUAAAAAGGAGCAUAAACCUCAGUGUUUAGGACUAAUAUGAGUCGGGUUUAGGGUUUUACUCAUCCGCUAUUCCUGGGGAAAGGGAUUCUGCACAGGAAAAAACAACAGUCCGGCAGACAAGGGUCCAUUCAUCCAGGCCACAACAUUAAUCAGACACAAACAAAGCGUGAACUAAUACACCUGGAUUAGCAUGCACAAGUCAUUAGCAUGAGAUAGCUCUGCAGGCCCAAUAAAAGACCGCUGGAGAACCCAGACCAGUACAGAAGAUCUGAAACCUCCUGAGGAUUCACACACUGAGAGACUACAACAAAAUGAAGUGCAUUGUUUUCAUCGCCUUCCUGGCUUCAGCAGCCUAUAUGACCUCAGCAAAG